UACGUAGGGUCCAAGCGUUAUCCGGAAUCACUGGGCGUAAAGCGCACGUAGGCGGAUUGUUAAGUCAGGGGUGAAAUCCUGGAGCUCAACUCCAGAACUGCCUUUGAUACUGGCGAUCUCGAGUCCGGGAGAGGUGAGUGGAACUGCGAGUGUAGAGGUGAAAUUCGUAGAUAUUCGCAAGAACACCAGUGGCGAAGGCGGCUCACUGGCCCGGUACUGACGCUGAGGUGCGAAAGCGUGGGGAGCAAACAGG
rnacentral:rRNA from 1 species